GCCCCCACGGCCCUGGCUUGGCCAGGGCUGGAUGCAGUGUGUGGCAGUGAGUGUGUGUGUUGUGAGGGAGAGACUCGCAACCAUGAGGUGAGAGGAGGGAGGCCUCCAGCCCCCUAUGCCGGGGGGCCAGGCCCUCUUCCCUUGCCGGCUAGGCUGAGGGGAGCUUGGGACAGUUUAUAACUGGACCGAGUACCCGUGGCCAAGGCUAGGGGGCUCUUUUUUUCUUCCCCCAAUGCCCGGGGAGGCGGUGGUGUGGACAUAAGGCUCAGUACUGGAGCCGAGCCAGGAGACGGGCCAAAGGGUUCGGAGGUGCCCUAUGUGGGUUUGGACGAGGGCAGCCAAAAACUGAAAGCUGCAGCAGCUAAGGAAGAGAGGAAGCCAAACUGGCGGGCUUUUUCUGGCUCAGGAGGAGACCUCAGCAAGAGCUGAGGGCUGGUGGGGGUGCAAGAGACCCUUUUCCCAGAUACCCCAAUGAGAGAGAGACUUAUCACUAUCGCCGUGAAGACUUCUCCUUAAGCGAUGUGGGAGGGUCCAAGGGGUGGUAGGGAUUGUGUUAAUAUUGUGUAUAUAACUGCUUUUUAGUUUCUAUAGUAUUUAUCGUGUAUAGUAAUAAAUUGUAUAUAAUCCCCUUCCCCCAUA